rnacentral:rRNA from 1 species
GAUGAACGCUGGCGGCGUGCCUAAUACAUGCAAGUCGAGCGAACAGAUGAGGAGCUUGCUCCUCUGACGUUAGCGGCGGACGGGUGAGUAACACGUGGAUAACCUACCUAUAAGACUGGGAUAACUUCGGGAAACCGGAGCUAAUACCGGAUAAUAUAUUGAACCGCAUGGUUCAAUAGUGAAAGACGGUUUUGCUGUCACUUAUAGAUGGAUCCGCGCCGCAUUAGCUAGUUGGUAAGGUAACGGCUUACCAAGGCAACGAUGCGUAGCCGACCUGAGAGGGUGAUCGGCCACACUGGAACUGAGACACGGUCCAGACUCCUACGGGAGGCAGCAGUAGGGAAUCUUCCGCAAUGGGCGAAGCUUGACGGAGCAACGCCGCGUGAGUGAUGAAGGUCUUCGGAUCGUAAAACUCUGUUAUUAGGGAAGAACAAAUGUGUAAGUAACUAUGCACGUCUUGACGGUACCUAAUCAGAAAGCCACGGCUAACUACGUG